rnacentral:rRNA from 1 species
UACGUAGGUGACAAGCGUUGUCCGGAUUUACUGGGCGUAAAGAGCGCGCAGGCGGUCGAUCAAGUCGAGUGUGAAAGCCCCCGGCUCAACUGGGGAGGGUCAUUCGAUACUGAUCGACUCGAAGGCAGGAGAGGGUAGUGGAAUUCCCGGUGUAGUGGUGAAAUGCGUAGAUAUCGGGAGGAACACCAGUGGCGAAGGCGGGUCUCUGGGCCGAUACUGACGCUGAGGAGCGAAAGCGUGGGGAGCGAACAGGA